AAUAUGAUGGUCGAGAGGUAAGCACCCUUGACUUUCACCCAAAGGUCCCGGGUUCGAAUCCCGGCCGUGGCA